GACGAACGCUGGCGGCGUGCUUAACACAUGCAAGUCGUACGGUAAGGCCCUUUCGGGGGUACACGAGUGGCGAACGGGUGAGUAACACGUGAGUAACCUGCCCACAACUUUGGGAUAACGCUAGGAAACUGGUGCUAAUACUGGAUAUGUGCUCCUGCUGCAUGGUGGGGGUUGGAAAGCUCCGGCGGUUGUGGAUGGACUCGCGGCCUAUCAGCUUGUUGGUGGGGUAGUGGCCUACCAAGGCGGCGACGGGUAGCCGGCCUGAGAGGGUGACCGGCCACAUUGGGACUGAGAGACGGCCCAGACUCCGACGGGAGGCAGAAGUGGGGAAUAUUGCACAAUGGGCGCAAGCCGGAUGCAGCAACGCCGCGGGCGGGAUGACGGCCUUCGGGUUGGAAACCGCUUUCAGCAGGGACGAAGCUUUUUGUGACGGUACCUGCAGAAGAAGCACCGGCUAACUACGUG
rnacentral:rRNA from 1 species